GAGGACAGCAGCCACCGGGCGCCCCGAUCCCGCGCGAUGUCGGCGAAGUGGAGGGUACUGGGCAAGGCCGGCCAAAAAAAAAUGAUUAACUGAAACCAAAGUUAUAUAAAUCCCGGCUUUCUAACGGUAAAAUCCUUCCCUGGGAGAGCGUUAAGGCCAAAGGAUUGUUACAAUCCCUUUGUCGAGGACAGACAGACAGACCCAAGAUGGCUCAGGCGAGCCUGCUGGCGUGCGAGGGGCUCUCCGGCGUCUGCCUGGUGCCCACGGUGGCCAGCAAGAAGAUGAUGCCGAAGCAGAGCUCGAAGCAGGCGGAGGGCAGGGAACGGGGCAGCAGCCCCGACGUGCUGGCACUGCGUCAGGAUGGGGAGAAAUCCCGCAGCCGAAAGGAGGAGGAGACGGCGGAGGCGUCGCAGC